GAAUGCCGCCGGCACGGCGGUUGGUGCCCGCUGCCGCUGCCAUCGCCCGCGCCCCGAACGGACACCGCGGCGACUGAGGAGGAACCGCCUCUACCGGCGGGAGUCUGCCCGGGGCGUACGGCUGGGGGGCAGCGAGCCACGUCUGGCUUAGCUUUGGGAAGAUGGGGCCUGAAAGGAAGGUCUUAACAGCCUCUGUGGACAUCGCGAUCGUUCCAACGCUAUACACCUGUGUGACUUCAGAAACAGGACCCAAAGGAAGGGAAAAGCACAGAAAGGACUUCUGUCCUCACUCUGGAACGUCAAGCAUUCAGCUCCUUAGGUGGAUGAAACAAUGAGUCAAAGAAAUAAACUAUGUUUCAGGUCUGCAUGCCGUUAAUCAUUUGACUGGUUGAAAGAACUACGGCAAGAUCUCUGAUUAUCUGAAAUGAAGCACUCAAACUUACAGCUGUCACCAUCUCUCCUGUAAUUAAGACAUUAUGUUUACUAAAAAAUGCACUCAAGUUACGUAGAAUUUAAGAAGAAAGGAUUUUUAUGACCUAACCUACAGAUAAAUCUAAAGGGGAAUGUGUUGGGUUGGUGCUUGUUUUCCCUCCAAGAUUUCACUUAAGGCUGUUGAUGUGAUGUGAAGACUUAAAGACUUACUCUUGCCAGAUCACUUACCUGAAGAGGGGAUUCCAUAUAAAAAAAAAAGAGGCAAUUUAACAAAUUGAAACAAAGAUUGAUAUAAAUGCGACAUUGAUAGUGCCAUCAAUUUCUUAACUAAAAUGUGGAAGAUUAAGCUACUGACUUAAAGCUGAAACUAUAAUCCUUGUUGACUCUGAAAAUACUACCUCUAAUCAUGGACAGCACCUUUUUCUUGCAGUGAGUUUAAACUACAAGUUUAAAAAACCUUAAACAUAGUACUGUGUUACCCUUGACAAGAGAAGUGUCUUUCGAUGACAAAAGACAUCACAAGGUAUCCAUAAUACAUGACUAACCUGUUCUGGACACGAGUUACAGAAUUAAGACAGCUGUAGGUAGUUUUCUACAAACUGUAGAAAUGGCAGAGAGCACUCCAGUUUUCAGACCUGUUCAGAGUUCCUAGCACCAGUGGUUUGGAAGCAGGUUUCUAAAAUUCAUAUUCCAAAAGAGAAAUAAUCUUGAAACUCACUGAAGAAUUCAUAUACAUAUGUAUUCCUCAAGCUACUAGAGAACAGUGACAGUUACACUCUUUUAGUUUCUCUCUCUAGCGUGAGAAUAAAAAUUAAUUUAACAUUUCAA